ensembl:lncRNA
GCAUUGACAUUUGGCCGUUAAACGCUAGUAAGUAGACAGUUUACUUUGAAAUUUGAGAGAUCCAGACCGCGCGCCCUUAUAGCAUAACGCCUAUAAACCUUCAUAAGGUUGAUAUAUGCGUGUAUCUGUGUAUAUUGACGCUUUGGCAAUAACGGAGCAAUAAAGCUCCUGGAAUCUCAACCUUAAAAAGAGGAGGAGGAGAGAGAGAGGGCGGGAGACAGAGCGAGACAGAGUCGGAUUUAUCAGUCGCUGAAAGCAGAUUAAACGGUUAAACUGAAGUGCGUCUCGAAACUCCCAUCGGACUAACCAGCCUUCGCUUUAUUUAUUUACCGUCCCAAAUGAGUGUUCUGUCGGCGCAAGGCGAUGGAUUGUUCACGAAAAUGUUAGGCUACUCUUCGUGUAAGAGCUGAGGACACCGUGGAGAUCCCAUCAUGGCAGCAAGCAAGUGUCCAUGUCUGAUGCAGAGGACCACUGGAUCAAGAAGAAAACAAAGCACCUGCAAACUCUGGAAUUCAUUAUUGAUGAAACAAGACUUCUAAAUCUUUCUCUUUGCUUAAAGUAACCUGCAAAUGCAGUGCCACUGGAAUGCAGAUGGAUAGGACAAAAACUUCAAAAUCCUUCACACUGCAUAUAGUUUUUUUGAGCUAGCCAAUGAAAUCAAUUCAUUUAAUGUUAGCUGUCGAACUAACUGACUGAGGCAUCGGAAUGAUGAGUAGACUCAAAUGAGCAAACCAGUGCUGUAAAGAAUUGGUGAUGCAGUCCAAGGAAAAGUUCCUCCUCAAUGGGAAAAUAUAUAAUCUGACUCUAAGGAUCUCCUCCUUCACCCUAAAUUCCUCCUCCUCCUCCUGCUGGAGCAGGGAGGCUGAUCUCUCGAGGACCAUACCAGACAGUUCCUGUUGUUAGCUCACAUUACCAGCUACCCGGACGACGCGUUCUGCGCUUUCAAUGAUGCUUGCCUGUAUGCCGAGUGCAGAGCGUUGUUGUCCGAAUAUGGUCCUCGGGAGGAAUUUGCCGCCCUCGUGGAGUGGACUCUGGCGAGAAAGGGGUCGCCACUUACUGUCUGCC